rnacentral:rRNA from 1 species
AGUGAACGCUGGCGGUAGGCCUAACACAUGCAAGUCGAACGGCAGCACAGGAGAGCUUGCUCUCUGGGUGGCGAGUGGCGGACGGGUGAGGAAUACAUCGGAAUCUACUCUGUCGUGGGGGAUAACGUAGGGAAACUUACGCUAAUACCGCAUACGACCUACGGGUGAAAGCAGGGGACCUUCGGGCCUUGCGCGAUUGAAUGAGCCGAUGUCGGAUUAGCUAGUUGGCGGGGUAAAGGACCACCAAGGCGACGAUCCGUAGCUGGUCUGAGGAGAUGAUCAGACACACUGGAACUGAGACACGGUCCAGACUCCUCCGGGAGGCAGCAGUGGGGAAUAUUGGACAAUGGGCGCAAGCCUGAUCCAGCCAUACCGGGUGGGUGAAGAAGGCCUUCGGGUUGUAAAGCCCUUUUGUAGGGAAAGAAAUCCAGCUGGCUAAUACCCGGUUGGGAUGACGGUACCCAAAGAAUAAGCACCGGCUAACUUCGUGCCAGCAGCCGCAGUAA